UCCAGGGUAGCCUAGUGGACAUGGCAUCUGCCCGGUAAGCGGAACACAGUGGGUUUGAUUCCCAUCCCUGGAC
rnacentral:tRNA from 1 species